rnacentral:tRNA from 1 species
GGUCUCAUGGUGUAAUGAUUAGCACUCUGGACUUUGAAUCCAGCGAUCUGAGUUCAAAUCUCGGUGAGACCU